rnacentral:misc_RNA from 1 species
AUUAUAGGUCUAUCGAGAUACCGUAGGUACACAAUAUACGACAAAGAGCUAAUUGUUCCCUAAUAAAAACACACGGCUCUGAUGAAAAUCUAGGACCCACUUUGUUUUCUAUUUCAUAUACGUAAGUGAAAAAGAAAAGCUAUACAUUGCUUUGUAUAGCCCGGGGAUAAUGUAAGUAUACAUAAAAGUUUUGUAAUUUCGCUCGGCGUGAAGAUGGGACCAGACUUGUUCAAGCGCGGACCCGUCAUUGGCUGCAGUACACAUUCAUGAGGUCACUCGGAGCGCCGACCUGUUGGUUCUAGGUAGGCUGCGCUGAUUUAUGGCUAAUCUUACAAAUUCGCGUGCCAGACAGCUAAUCAGAGAGGCCUUCGCGUGACGAGCUUAGUUGUCGGUGGGACCAACUCGUGUCAGUGCUAGGAAACAUAUCACACCGAACAGACAUGGAUGUAUAGGAGUAUUAGCAAUUAACGAAUAAUUCUUAAUUAUAAACUGAUCACCUGAUCAUGGCACCCACAGAGUCCAAAGAUGAAGUGAAAAAAGAAGCCGUCCACAGUUCGACGGGGUCACCGAAGAGAAGGGUAAGUGAUUUUGAUAUUUAUAUGUAUGGGGAGUCAUACGUUAACUCGUCUGCUUAUUUACUGCGCUGUUUUCACCUGUGUUACGUUCAUUUCAUUUGACAGGCUAAAUUACUGUUUUGUUUACAUCUAUAAAUUUACCGUAUUAUGUCAACAGCGUUGUAUUAAUGAAAAUUAAAUAAGUCUAAGAUUGGUCAAAUCCUUAGUAAUCACCCGCCCCUCCUCUUAAAAUUUCUUUUUCUAUUUCAUUUUUGUUUUGUUUUUUUAAUUCUUUUUUUUUUGCUUCUAAAUAUACAUCUUACAAGAAACUAAUUCAAAUUAAAAGAUAAACGAUCGGAACAUCCAUUACUGAUACUAAUCUCUCUGUGUCGUAACAGUCAUCUGCCUUGCUCGGUUCAUUUGAUUCAUUCGCUUUCUGUGAUUUACUGUAACAACAGUGGUCAACGCGGCGCGGGUACCCCAAAAUGUGAUGACGUCAUAGCACGAGACCGGCGCGAGCACCCAAAACCCUCAUGAAACUUACUUUGAGGCGGAAACAAUAACAUUCCUGAGUAUUAGUCGCCAUAUAAGUUUGGCAUGGCGUUUCUAAUCCGGGGCGAUCGUCCUCUAAUCCUCGGGUUAAGAUCAAUGGAUAAUAUUACAGAUUAGGAUUACGACUGGAGAUUCGUGACAUGGAGAGUAAACGUAAUUUGACGUUAAUCAAUUCUCGUUGCCUGCGGAGCCACCGUUAAAAAUUACAUCUAAUCCUCAAAAUGACAGAAUCCCCCUAAAUGAUGGUCUUAUUUGACAGUAUCCUCCAUAUCAAUGAUACGCUAGUGCCUGGUGAUUAAGAUAUUUCCAAGGUUUUCUAAGUACAUGUUAAAAUUACUUAUUCUUUCAGGUAAACAAACCAAUGAUAGAGAGAAGACGGAGAGAAAGAAUAAACGAAUGCUUGAACCAGCUCCAGACUCUGAUAUCCCAGUUGGACAAGGAUAAACCUAAGAUUGGAAAGUCAAACAAGUUGGAAAAAGCCGACAUUUUGGAAAUGACUGUUGACUUUGUCAAGCGAUCUCAUCCCACUACAUCAAAAGAAGAAGGUGAAAAUCGUGAAGGUGUAGUGGAUAGCGUGCAGUAUAAAGCCGGGUAUGACAAAUGCCGUAACGAGAUCCAAAACUUUCUGCAAUCUUCGGAAAACGUGCCCGAUGAAGUCCGAUCAGCGUUGAUAAGACAUCUUCAAGUCAACCCUUCUAACAAAUCGUCCGAACCCGCUGAAGACAAGUCGCCUGCAGUGGACCAGACUCCUAAAAGUGUCGCUUCUGUGUCUUACGCCAAUAUUCUUCCGCGUGUGUCAAGUGCUUCGAUUGUCAGUGUCGCGUCAUCGCCUUCCUGCCAGACGACAACCCAGCUUCCUGGAAACAGAAAUGUUUACAUCUGCAAUCCGAGCGCUCCAACGUACGUGUUAGUCCCAACAGCUACAUUAUGUCAACCCGUACCAAUAAACUCUCAGAUGACAAGGACCAGCGAUUCACCUUUGAACUUGGUGAAGACUUCUAGAACCGGAAGUGAAAUGGUCUCCAGCAGCACCGCUCAGACUUCAACGAUGCAGCUUGGGUCUGUUGUCAAUGGAAACCAAUUCGUUGUGAUACCGCAAGGACAGAUUUCAAGUGUUCCAAAUUUCAUGGCAUCUUCUAUGGGUGGACAGUCAAAUCUUAUCCCCGCCAAUUCGGUCCAAAACAUCCAGGGCAACUUCCUGUGCAUGCCCAACUUCCAGAUGUCGCUUUCGUCGCCCCAGUCUGACCAGGACGUGUGGCGACCAUGGUAAACAGGGUUAUUUUCCUGUGGCGGUUUUAAAUAAAUUUUCUACACAAUGCACUAAAACAACCCACAUAUAUUAUUGAAGACCAUAAGAAAAGUUUAUUAUUAUAGAAUUCUAUUUCUGUGGGACUAAGCAUUUGUUGAUUGGGUUGUGUUCAGUGCGUUUAGACAUUGCAUAUAUAAAUUUAUUUUUCUAUAAAGAGGGUGACAUUGAAGAGCUUCCUAUUCAUUAGUUGUCUUCCUAGAUGCAGAUUUGUGAUACAGCGUACAGUGUACAUUCCAUUACAUAUUUUACAUAUAAAUCUGUUAUUAUACGAUUGUUAUGAUGUUAUACAACGACAACAUCUGUUUAUGUAAUCAAAGGUGCUGAUUAUUAAAAUGAAGAUUUUUUCUGAUU